GACCUAACCCCCGAUUUUCGGGAUAUGGUCUAAAAACUCAUCCUACAUAGAGACGGUUUUCCGACCAGUACUUGUAGGAUGAGUCUACUCUCGAAAGGGGGUAGUGAUAUCUCCGAAAGGAUUUAUCA
rnacentral:sRNA from 12 species